rnacentral:rRNA from 1 species
CUACGGGAGGCUGCAGUGAGGAAUUUUGCGCAAUGGGCGUAAGCCUGACGCAGCAACGCCGCGUGAGUGAAGAAGGCCCUCGGGUCGUAAAGCUCUGUCGGACGGGAAGAACCUGCGGUGGGGUAAUAUAUCACCGCACUGACGGUACCGUCGAAGGAAGCACCGGCUAACUCCGUGCCAGCAGCCGCGGUAAUACGGAGGGUGCAAGCGUUAUUCGGAAUUAUUGGGCGUAAAGGGCGCGUAGGCGGUCCGGCAGGUCGGAUGUGAAAUCCCGGGGCUUAACCCCGGAAGUGCAUUCGAAACCUCCGGACUUGAGUAUGGGAGAGGGAAGCGGAAUUCCUGGUGUAGCGGUGAAAUGCGUAGAUAUCAGGAGGAACACCGGUGGCGAAGGCGGCUUCCUGGACCAAUACUGACGCUGAUGCGCGAAGGCGUGGGGAGCAAACAGGAUUAGAUACCCGGGUAGUC